rnacentral:rRNA from 1 species
UACGUAGGGUGCGAGCGUUGUCCGGAAUUAUUGGGGCGUAAAGGGCUCGUAGGCGGUUUGUCGCGUCGGGAGUGAAAUCCACUGGCUUAACUGGUGGCUUGCUUUCGAUACGGGCAGACUGGAGGUAUGCAGGGGAGAACGGAAUUCCUGGUGUAGCGGUGAAAUGCGCAGAUAUCAGGAGGAACACCGGUGGCGAAGGCGGUUCUCUGGGCAUGUCCUGACGUGAGGAGCGAAAGCGUGGGGAGCGAACAGG